GAUGAAGAACGUAGCGAAAUGCGAUACGUAGUGUGAAUUGCAGAAUUCAGUGAAUCAUCGAAUCUUUGAACGCACAUUGCACCUCUCGGUAUUCCGGGAGGUAUGCCUGUUCGAGCGUCAUUUGUACCCUCAAGCUCUGCUUGGUGUUGGGUGUUUGUUCCGCCUCUGUGUGUGAACUCGCCUCAAAACAAUUGGCAGCCGGCGUACUUGUUUCGGAGCGCAGCACAUUUUGCGAUCCAGAUCAACGUACAGCGGCAUCCAAGAAGCCUUAUUUAACGCUCUUGACCUCGGAUCAGGUAGGGAUACCCGCUGAACUUAAGCAUAUCAAUGAGCGGAGGA
rnacentral:misc_RNA from 1 species